CCCGCCCGCCGGACGCCGGGACC
rnacentral:miRNA from 1 species